GAGCGCUGGACAGCAUACAAGUGAGAAUGCCGGUAUGAGUAACGAAAAGACAAGUGAGAAUCUUGUCCGCCGAAAGCCUAAGGGUUCCUGAGGAAGGCUCGUCCACUCAGGGUAAGUCGGGACCUAAGGCGAGGCCGAAAGGCGUAGUCGAAGGACAACAGGUUGAAAUUCCUGUACCACCGUGAACCGUUAUGAGCAAUGGGGUGACGCAGAAGGAUAGUGACGCGGACUGAUGGAUGUCCGUCCAAGCAGAGAGGCUGGUGUGCAGGCAAAUCCGCACAUCRUWAAGGCUGGUCUGUGAUGGGGAGUGAAAAUCGCAGUAGCGAAGGUCAUGAGUUCAAGCUGCCAAGAAAAGCCUCUAGCCAGGGAGAAGGUGCCCGUACCGGAAACCGACACAGGUAGGCGAGCAGAGCAUGCUAAGGCGCGCGGAAGAACUCUCGUUAAGGAACUCGGCAAAAUGACCCCGUAACUUCGGGAGAAGGGGUGCCUCGGUAGGGUGAAUAGCCCGAGGGGGCCGCAGUGAAAAGGCCCAAGCGACUGUUUAGCAAAAACACAGGUCUGUGCGAAGCCGCAAGGCGAAGUAUACGGGCUGACGCCUGCCCGGUGCUGGAAGGUUAAGGGGAGCGGUAAGGGGCAACCCGAAGCUGUGAACCGAAGCCCCAGUAAACGGCGGCCGUAACUAUAACGGUCCUAAGGUAGCGAAAUUCCUUGUCAGGUAAAUUCUGACCCGCACGAAUGGCGUAACGACUUGGGCGCUGUCUCAACGAGAGAUCCGGUGAAAUUUUAAUACCUGUGAAGAUGCAGGUUACCCGCGACAAGACGGAAAGACCCCAUGGAGCUUUACUGCAGCUUGAUAUUGGACUUUGGUACGAUCUGUACAGGAUAGGUGGGAGCCUGAGAAGCAUGAGCGCCAGCUUGUGUGGAGGCGACGUUGGGAUACCACCCUGAUCGUAUCGGAGUUCUAACCUGGCACCCUAAAUCGGGUGUGGGGACAGUGUCAGGUGGGCAGUUUGACUGGGGCGGUCGCCUCCUAAAGCGUAACGGAGGCGCCCCAAGGUUCCCUCAGAAUGGUUGGAAAUCAUUCGAAGAGUGCAAAGGCAGAAGGGAGCUUGACUGCGAGACAAACAGGUCGAGCAGGGACGAAAGUCGGGCUUAGUGAUCCGGUGGUACCGAAUGGAAGGGCCAUCGCUCAACGGAUAAAAGCUACCCUGGGGAUAACAGGCUUAUCUCCCCCAAGAGUCCACAUCGACGGGGAGGUUUGGCACCUCGAUGUCGGCUCAUCGCAUCCUGGGGCUGAAGUAGGUCCCAAGGGUUGGGCUGUUCGCCCAUUAAAGCGGUACGCGAGCUGGGUUCAGAACGUCGUGAGACAGUUCGGUCCCUAUCUGUCGCGGGCGUAGGAAAAGCGCGGCAACGUGUGGAGCUGACGAAUACUAAUCGGUCGAGGGCUUAACUAAG
rnacentral:rRNA from 1 species